CCUACAGGUGGCAGCAGUGAGGAAUAUUGGUCAAUGGGCGCGAGCCUGAACCAGCCAAGUAGCGUGAAGGAUGACUGCCCUACGGGUUGUAAACUUCUUUUAUAAAGGAAUAAAGUGAGGCACGUGUGCCUUUUUGUAUGUACUUUAUGAAUAAGGAUCGGCUAACUCCGUGCCAGCAGCCGCGGUAAUACGGAGGAUCCGAGCGUUAUCCGGAUUUAUUGGGUGUAAAGGGAGCGUAGAUGGGUUGUUAAGUCAGUUGUGAAAGUGUGCGGCUUAACCGUAAAAUUGCAAUUGAUACUGGCAGGCUUGAGUACAGUAGAGGUGGGCAGAAUUCGUGGUGUAGCGGUGAAAUGCUUAGAUAUCACGAAGAACACCGAUUGCGAAGGCAGCCUACUAAAC
rnacentral:rRNA from 1 species